UGGGGAAUAUUGCACAAUGGGCGAAAGCCUGAUGCAGCAACGCCGCGUGAGUGAUGAAGGCCUUCGGGUUGUAAAGCUCUGUCUUUUGGGACGAUAAUGACGGUACCAAAGGAGGAAGCCACGGCUAACUACGUGCCAGCAGCCGCGGUAAUACGUAGGUGGCAAGCGUUGUCCGGAUUUUACUGGGCGUAAAGGAUGCGUAGGCGGAUUUUUUAAGUGAGAUGUGAAAUACCCGGGCUUAACUUGGGUGCUGCAUUUCAAACUGGGAAUCUAGAGUGCGGGAGAGGAGAAUGGAAUUCCUAGUGUAGCGGUGAAAUGCGUAGAGAUUAGGAAGAACACCAGUGGCGAAGGCGAUUCUCUGGACCGUAACUGACGCUGAGGCAUGAAAGCGUGGGUAGCAAACAGGAUUAGAUACCCUGGUAGUCCACGCCGUAAACGAUGAGUACUAGGUGUAGGAGGUAUCGACCCCCUUCUGUGCCGCAGUUAACACAAUAAGUACUCCGCCUGGGAAGUACGAUCGCAAGAUUAAAACUCAAAUGAAUUGACGGGGGUCAUAGCUGUUUUUCCU
rnacentral:rRNA from 1 species